rnacentral:rRNA from 1 species
UACAGAGGUCUCGAGCGUUAGGCGGAAUCACUGGGCUUAAAGCGCGCGUAGGCGGCCCGGUAAGUCCGUUGUGAAAGUCAAAGGCUCAACCUUUGAACGCCGAUGGAUACUGCCGGGCUAGAGUCCGGAAGAGGCGAGUGGAAUUCCUGGUGUAGCGGUGGAAUGCGCAGAUAUCAGGAGGAACACCAAUAGCGAAGGCAGCUCGCUGGGACGGUACUGACGCUGAGGCGCGAAAGCGUGGGGAGCGAACAGG